GAAACCAACGAAAAAAAAUCGAGGCCCCCUCGCACGAACCAGGAGCGAGGCCUCCAGUCUGCCCUCGAUCGUCUCGCUACGAGGACGAGAACCACGCCCCAGCCGCCGGAGCCCUACGCCGCCGCCGAGAUCGGAGAGGAGCCGCCGCCGCCGACGUUCGAGAGGAGCUGGCAACCACGACCUCCCUCCCCAGCUGGCCGCCACCACCCCCUCCCCAAGCAGCCAUGUACAGCACGGCGGCGCCCACGCGCCUGGCCUAGGUGGGUCUCGGCCUCCCUCCUCCCUUCGUCGAAGGCCAGGAGCUCCCCCUCCCCGACCCGAUCUGGUGGAGAGAGGGCCAGGCCUUGCCACUCCGGUGGUCGCUGUGGCCAGAUCUGUCCGGGGUAGUCGCCGUAGAGCCUCUACGGCGGCGGAGUAGCAGCAGCCCGACAGAAGGUGGGUGCCAGAUCGUCGUCCAGCAACUCGCCGUCGGAGCUUCUCACUGGAGGCGAUGGAGGCCAGAAGCAGCCGUCGUUGCCAGGCGGUGAGCAUUUCCUCUUGAUUUCCCCCCUCGUAUCUGACUUCUUGUAGUUGCGCUCCCUUGUGCUCCAACGAUUCAGUCCCCGCUCCAUGGUUGUAUUAGUUCAGUCGAGUUCCCUUGCUAACCCCUCGUGGUUCACUGAUUCGUUGUGCUAGGUCGAUCAUCACAGAUGGAAAACGAGGUCCAGCCAAAAUGUCUCAGAUCGGCAGAUCCUUAGUGGACUGCUUUCCUCAUGUCGACACAGUCUGCGAGGUGGAAGAUCCAUAGCAUACAGAUGCUAUCUUGGGUACGACUGAGCAGUCUCGGAUAUACUUUAACCCAGACAUCAACGCAACAAAUAACUUGAUUAUAAGGUACAAUCAUGAUUACCAAUGCCUAGCUAUUUUUUGAUCUUGACUAACACAAAGGGUAUAAUGUGUAGUUUCAGGGAGCCGUGUAGUUUCAGGGAGCCCCGUUGCUUUCUCAUAGAAUUUGUUCAGAUAUAAAUUUGCCUAUUACCAACAAUACAUUGAAUUAUAAUUAUAAUAUUGCAGGAACAAAUGUCAUGUGAAGCAAAUAAUUUCCUUAGAAAAAAGUAAGCUCCGUUUGCACUAUUAAUUAGCUUCUUGAGUUAUUUUGCUUGACAGGAGAAAUGGACUUGUUUUUUCUAUGGCCUAAUUGAACAGUAAGGGUCUCUCCUACUUUCAUUUCUAAGAAAACAAAUAAACCUACAUACGGACCUACAUACGUCUUUCAUAUGAAAUAAUUUGUGCUUACGGGAGCCGGCAUAAACCAGUGUGAGAUUACCAUUUGAACUUCUGCAUAUGGCCCAUUAAUGUGGUCAAAGCAAGUUCUGUGGUCAGUACUCAAUUUGGUCAGUGAGCUAAACGUCAACGUGGUCAGUACUCUAUUUGGUGAAAGCAAGGUCUAACAAAUAUUUAGCCGCAGGUUUCUUAUACUACUUUUAAUUUAAACCAAGACAAUUUGGUCCAUUGUUAGGAAAAGUUAAGGAUUAUGAGCGAGAAAGUGGAGAGAAAAAAGGUACUUAUCAGCGGCAGGGGCGCGAGUAGGAUGCCCUUUCCCAGGGAACUAAAGUAGGAUUUGUCUUUACAACGCUGUUGUCGCAGUGUUCUCAUUCUGAAGGCGCCGACAGACCAUGAUACUUGAAGAUAUGGACGUGCCAAAUCUGCGCCGACCUCCUCUACGUGAUAUCUCUAAUGUUGAUCAUCAUUCCCAAAUGUCUCCAGUGCCAGGUAAAUGCACAUGAUUGCUUAUGGUUUAUCGCAUUGGGUCAUAUAGUUUACCUGUUUUUGCAUUGAAAUUGACUACAAAAUUAGUGAGCUCAGAGAACUUAACCCUGUUUGGAUCCGGUUGGGAAUGGGUAAAUCUUGCUAAGCAACUACGAGAGCGCAACAGAACUAAGCUGAUGGGGAUGCGAGAAACUACCAAAGACGACACCUGGUCGACAAAGAUGGAUGCGAGCAUCUGUCAGUGGUAGAAGAGAUGAAUCACAAAAGUAAAGCUUACAGUCAAAAAUAUGUGAAGCUCGGGAGGGCAUGGUGCUCAAAUACGUGUACCUCGAAACUUAAUUUUGUUCGCCUGCAUCAAUCAUCCAGUUCUGGUCUGACUUCAUUUUGCAAGAUGCAGAAGCAGUACUCCAAGACAUGCAUGGCUCAUCUACUCCAGAUACAAGUCCUACAAGCUUUAAGUGUUGAUCGUACAAGCCUGCUCCUAAACUUUCAGAGUACAAGCCCUAAACAAUUAUUUAUGCACAUUUCAGAGUUGACAGCAUGCAUCAUCUUCUCCUAAAUAAUUUUUGCAUCAUCUAAAUACUCUAACUACUGCAUCAUCUAUCUGCAUCAUCUGUGUACUCUUAACUAUUGCAUCAUCAACAAUAUUCAGUAAAUACUCUAACUGAACUAGGUGAUUCAAGCACAUGCAUCACUACACUGGAGUACUCUGCACAUGCAUCUCUACAUUGGAGUACUCCUAGCACAAGCGUCAAGGAAUCAUCUACUCCAUCUGCAAUACUCCUAAAAUGAAAAAUAAAAUAAACUGCUAAGCAUUACUCCUUCUGAAAAACAUAUGAAAAUAAUAAUAUGCUAAACUAAAAAGAAUCAUCUGCUAAACUGAACUAUGGCUUCAGUUAUGUUCAUUUUAGCAGCAGUACUACAACAUCUACUCUAGCAACAAUAAAGGAUGAGUAAAUGUUGGAAUUUCAAACCAUGUACACUAUGCAACAGUACAAUCCAUAAAAAAUAGUGCUACUCCUUUCAGUUACAAAGACCAUCCCUACUACUCCCUCCGUUCGGAAUUAGUUGUCGCAAAAAUAGAUGUAUCUAGAUGUAUUUUAGUUCUAGAUACAUCCAUUUCCGAGACAAGUAAUUCCGAACGGAGGGAGUAUAUUGCAAAAACUAGACUGAGGAGACGCAGUACUGUAAGUGUCGGAUAAGCAACAUGAAAAUCAAUGUUGGAGUAAUUGUCUUACACCUAAUCAGUGCAGACGCAGCAACCGCAUCUUCACGAGCUGCCUCGUCGUCCAUAUCCCACAGUUCUUCCCUUCGCAACAUACAUCCUACUCCCAUCUGCAUCCCAUCAAGAAUCACAACCAUAUCCCAUCUGCAUCCAUAUCCCAUCCUCACAAGAAUCACAGCAUACUAUACUCCUAAUCAAGAAUCUACCCACGCAGACAGUACGAGAAAGAUGCACACCUCGUGGGUCUUGCCGUCGAGCGUAGAGCAUGGUAGUCGACUGGGACGGGUGCGGGCUCGCUCUCAGGUGCCGUCGAGAUGGAGGGGGGCUCCAUCGAAGAGAGCCUGUCGGGGACGGCAGCGUCCAGUACGGGCGCUCCUCCUUGCAGGUCGAGGGCGAUGAGGAGCGCCGGCGUUCAUUGCAGCCGUUGUCGGGUAGGAGAAGUCCGCCCUGCCCGCGCUCCGCCUGCUCCUCCUCAACCUCGGUAAAGAAAUCUUUGGAGCAGGCGACGCGUGCGAGAGGGAGAGAAGGUGGCGACGCGCGUCCGUCGGAGGGAGGCGGCGACGCGGGCGAGAGGGAGGCGGUUCGUCGGACUAGAGCUAGGGAUUUGGUGGAGGGGAAUGAGAGAGUGGUGCGGAGAGAGUGAGGGGAACGAGAGCGUUGUGCGGCGUCCGGUGUUGUGCUAUAUUGGGAAGUAAAGAAAAACCGAUACGCGACAGAAAACGUGCAAUGAUCCAGAAAAGUGUGUUAUGUAGUACUUUUCAGCGAUAUAUUUUGUUAGAGCAUUUACAAUCGGACUUGGCAAAUCCGGCCCCUUAAACACCCGCGGACGUGCCCGGGUGCGUCCGUGGGCAGUGACCGGGCACUCCUAAAAAAAUACAAUCCACAUCCGGACACCUCAAUUAGCAUAUCUCAAAUCCAUACAAACUCAUGCAACUACGUCGACACAUACGCAUCGUCCGGCUACUCCAUCACACUACACUAAACAUGCCAUCGGACUACCAAAAUUUGGCAUGUUUGGCUAUGGUGGAGUUCAUCCACGGCUGCCCUUGCCCUUCCCGACGCCCUUGUCGUCCUUCUCGCGGAAGUAUCGGUCGAAGACGCAGUACGGAUCGAGCCGGAUCUGCUCGUCACCGGAGCUGUCCUCGCAGUCGUUGUCCUCCUUCUCCUCCUUCGGUGGCAGUCCGUUCAUGGCACAGACCGCCCGAUUCUGCUAUAGGGCGAGGGCGCGCGUGGUCCUCCGCUGCAGUUUCUUACAAAUGUGGGCGUGGAUGGCUUCCUCCUCUUCGGCCGCCCUCGUCGUUGCAUCAGCCGCCUUCGCCGCCGCCAUUUCCGCCGCUAUACCAGCCUCAGCGGCCCUUAUCGUCUCCUUCCCACAGCGUGCUGCCUGUUCCCGGUGAGACUCGUAGUCUGCCCGACCGGUGAUGGGGAAGGAGAAGUGUUUCGGCUGCCGGGACCGCGAGGAUCCAGCACCAGAGGACCUGAGCGCCCGGUGAGCAGACGCUAUGGCUUCACGACGGACGGAUCCAUCUGUCGGUCGGGUGCUGUCCUCCCAGGGGCUGCGGAGUGUGUGGACUGCCAUUGCCUCCUCCAACCCACACGGGAUGACACCCCAGUCGACGGAUCUGGACUGGUCGGAGUCCGAUCCGCUCUCUACCAUGGCGGAGAAGAUCGAAAUCCGUCGGAGGUGAGCUCGGGUGGCGGAGGGAAGGGGAGAGGAGUGGAGUGAUGUGGCUAGGGUUUGCUCCGGCAAGCGGAUGGGGAUGAAUAUAAGUGGGGUCUGGUGGGCCAGUAUGGGCCGGGUCCGACGUGGCGGGCAUGCCGGGGCGCCCCCAUAUCCGCCCCAUAUUUAGCUGGAUAUGGGGGUGCCGGUUAGCCCGGGCGUUUCAGGUCCGUCUGAGAGGCCCGUCAGUGUCAAAAAAUCAUGAUCGGUCAGUGAUCGGGCGGCCAGCCCGGGCGUAUGAGGGGUGACCCAUUUCUUAUAGAAAAAUCGGUUGUUUUUUUAUAUGAAGGGAAAUCAACUAUUUGCUCAUAGAGAAAUGUAACAUAUUUUUAUAGUGAACAAUAUCACAUACCUUAAAUAAUAAAUUCCCGAGAAGGGAAAUCAACAAUUUUCUCCUAGAACAAUAUCAUGAACAAGUGAUUUAUAAGUUAGCCUAAAUUUAUUAAAAUCAGGAUGCAACUUAUAAAUCAUUAAACGUUUUAUGAUAUUUUUUAUGCGGUUGUUACUUUUGACCAAUAGAGCCGCAUUAAACUUCAUUGUCCUUCUGGCACAACUAUUUACAUCUCACACAUAAUGCUUACUUCUUAAAUGCCGUAGUUUAAUUGGAAGAGGGAAGGGAGGGAGGGAGAGAGAGAAUGUUGCAUUGCAGCGAGAGAGGCAAAGGGAGGGAGAAGUUAAACAGUGUGAGAUGUAAAUCAAGUGCAUGGUUAAAGUCUGGGUGGAGAUGGAAGGUCUGAUUGCGAUCUAGAUGCACCAUUCAAAAAUGUGGUGAGCCUGGGCUCGGGAGGAAGAGAGGCAAAGAUAAUGGGUGGAGGAAGAUAAGGAAAAGAGUAAUUUAACGGUAAAAAAGACAAUAUUCGCUGAUGUACAUGAGGAAACUAAAGGUACUCCACUUGUUCUAAAUUAAUGUAUCUUUCUCACGAAUCAAUGUGGAACUGUGUAUUGACAUUCCUCCUUAUCUGGAAUCUCCAUUUGCACCAUCUAGAAGAAAAAUUGAGGAAGAGACUAAAAGGCACAUACAUGAGUAGCCUGAUUCUUGUCUUAGAAAGUUGAUUCUUAUAUAUAUGUCUUGGAUUAAAAAGAGCAUGAGAACUUGCCAAGCCAUCUGAAUAUGCCAUCAUAGCCAAAACUUUUUUUAGGUUGCUGACAACAUUGAGCUGGACUUGCUUUUGUUGCUACUAUUGCUGAAAACAAACUCCAGAAAAGGGAGUGAAAGCAGAAAGAAGAGAGGUUGCACAAGAUGAGUAAUGAUGGGUAGCAAUAGAGGCCGAAGCUGUGAUGAUGAUGCGGAUCUGACCCCAUUAGUAUGUUUCCCAUCAAGGAAACCUACAAAUUCUAUUAUGAUACAAAUUUUCUAUUAUGAGGUGUGUUUCUCAUAAAGAAUGUGAUUUCUGCAUGAUAGUUUUCUAAAAAUGUGAAGGUUUUAUGCAAAGACUGACAUUUUAGAAGGAUGUAGUAAAAUAUAAACCUUGGUAGGUACUCCUGAAGUUGAAGCUGCUCAAGCAAUAGUAAUUUUUUCCGAGCACUGAACUAUUGUUUCUGGUUUUGCUUAUUGUUAUUCCUCGUAGGAUGUUCAAGAGGAACACCCUUUAAAUUUUGUACUUGUCAUAGCUUCAGGUCCACUUGUGAGCCCUUAUGCAAUUUUGCUUAAGUUAGAUUAGGAUGGGUUCCUUUGACCUUAUGGUCAUGUAUAUAACAACGAGGACCUAUUACGUAUCCUUUUUCCCCUCAGAAAUCUUUAGGUACAAUUGCAUGGUUACGUGCUUCGAAUUAAAAGCGUGUAUGGCAGGUGGUGGAAGGAAAGAUUGCAAGUCAGAUGCACCACUGGUAUACAGUAGACACAAAUUCGUGUUAAACCGUUGAAAUGUUUAUGACCCGUUCCAAUGCACGGGCAGUCAACUAAUUCGGUACACCAUCAUCUCUCCAGGUAGUGAUAGUCGUCUCAUUUUUUAAAUCAAAUGUACAAUAUGCCAUCAUCUUUUGGAGUAUGUGGGAAAGUUUAGAAGAGAUGCAAGAAAUGGUGCAGUGAGAUGACACGCCUUGUCAGAGAUAAUAAAAAUUGAUGGCUUUGGAUGAUGCUUUGAAAAUGUCGAUUGAGAAAGUCACGGAUGUAACUAUGAGCUACUGGACUCAAAAGUCAUCCAGUUUUACACGAUGAGAUGCAUAUAAAUAAUUAUUCUUUCUUGUAUAUAUGUUGCACAUGAUAAUACUUUUUUUGUGGGGUAUGAGAGAGAUGGAGAUAGAUUACGUUGAUGCUCAAAAAGAAUCCUUCGACAAGGGCCGGAUCAAUUUCAUUGGAAGGAGCCAAAACUACAUCGAGUUUUAUACAACAACAUAAUCUAUCUCCAUUGCUAAAAACCUAAAAAGCCUGUGGCAACGCACGAGCAUAUUACUGGAGGUCAACAUGAGAUCAGAAAAUUUUCGAGAAGGAAACUAUCCAGACAUUGGCAAUAUUUUUUGAUAACUGGCGUGAGAUGGACAACGACAUCUCAUCGUCCAACAUGGUAAGUAAAAUAUUUUGUUUAUUGUUAUCAUGGUUUAUUGUUGUUUCUAAUAACUCCACUUGUAGUUUUAUCUUCCCUAUGCAUCCAUCGGCCGAUACAACUUAUACGUCAUUGACAAAGAGGUAUGUCGUCUAUAUAUUAUGGACCCUGUUCAAACAUCACAAUCGUCACAGGAUAAAAAUUUGAGGCAAUGCACUGAAAUUAAAAAGUUUUGCAAGGGAUUUCAAAGAAUCACUCGAAAUAAAGCUGUCUGGUUGGAAUUCCGAUAUAUCUAAAUGGCAACGUUUAUUUCCGUUUGGUAUUCCAACGAGUAUAGACGGGUAAUGAAUUCAUAAUAAAAACAUUUAUUUUUGUUAUCACUAUUUUUUUAUAUUACUAAUUUAAAAAAUUGCUGGAAUGUGUCUGGUUAUUUUGUUUUUCAUUUUAUGCUCUGGUGGAACGGUGAAGAAUUGGGGAAGUCGGU